rnacentral:rRNA from 1 species
GAUGAACGCUGGCGGCGUGCCUAACACAUGCAAGUCGAGCGAAGCGCCUUACUUGAUUUCUUCGGGAUGAAAGUAUUGUGACUGAGCGGGCGACGGGUGAGUACGCGUGGAUAACCUGCCUCAUACAGGGGGAUAACCUUGCGAAAGUAAGAUUAAUACCCGAUGGCUUCCUUUUAUCUCCUGAUAGAGGGAAUAAAGAAUUUCGGUAUGGGAUGGCGAUGCGUCCGAUUAGCUGGUUGGCGGGGUAACGGCCCACCAAGGCGACGAUCGGUAGGGGUUCUGAGAGGAAGGUCCCCCACAUUGGAACUGAGACACGGUCCAA